rnacentral:lncRNA from 1 species
UUACGGAAGGCAAGAAGCGACAUCGCUAUGAGGCGGUGACUUUAGAAAUCACUGUACUGACUUUUAAUCACCGCCCUGGUCGCAAGCUAAGUUUUAAGUGUUUUCUGGUUGAUCCAGUACGUUAUUACUUAUCCAAUUUACCGUAGAUCGCUUGUCAUCACACUCCCGGAACAAAAGAUGUGAAGUCUCUUUUACCAACGCCUUAUCUUGCUCCCUUUGGCCCAGGAGAUAAAAUACAGAUUAAUCAGUGGGCUAGCUAGCCCUGGAGGCUCUCUGUGAUGCGACCACAUCCUGAGGUUUUUACAUGACUCAAACCCACAAAACACCCUUCCUGCCCCAUCUCAUCUCCAAUACCCUUUACAAUCCCUGUACCAUUCAUUCCUCCUUGGUUAUCAGAACAGUCUGACCCUUUUCCUGCUUGUGGCAGACCACGUUCCCACUCCAACAUUUGACACGAGAGUAAUGAUAGCUGACACAAAAAGCCCAGGGGUCAGAAGAGACCCAAACUAUCAAGGUAGCUGGCCCGACAACAGGCUCAGGGGAAAUUUUCAUUAUAGACCCACUGACAGAUACCAAGCGCAGAAGAACAAGGAUGUUUAUGCUAAAUAUGUAAGCUAAGUGGAAAAUCCAUUUACUUCUAUGUGUUUAAAAAGAAUAGGCUAAGACUGAAGACUGGAAACUGGUAUCAAUGGAGAAACAGAGGCCUAUUCCCUGGGAGAAAAUUAUCAAAAGAGAUGGUAACCUGGAAAUAGCUCAGAUGUCCUGGAUCUUCCAUUCUUCUUUGUGAAGUCAAGCUCCCACCAAUGAGCUGAAUCGUCACCUGUGUCAGGGAGGAAAGACGGAAACCAUCUUUUGCCAGUCCUCAGUUGGUGGGAUCCUUUGGGAAAGAUCAGAACAUGUGGCCUUGUUGAAGCAGGCCUGUCACUGCGGGCAGCUUUGAGGUUUCAGAAGACGUUUGCCUGUUCCCACUGUGCUCUCCGCCUCCUGCCUACUGUUUGAGAUGUGAACUCUCAACCUCUGCUGCUGUGUCUUCACUCUGCCGCUGUGGACUCCAACUCUCUGAAAAGGGAUUCAAGCAGGCAGCCAAGCAUGGCAUUGUUCACAUGGUCCCACUGUGCUCUCUGCCUCCUGCUUGCUGUGUGAGAUGUGAGCCCUCACCUGUUUCUGCCAGCGUGCCUUUGUCCUGCCAUCAUGGAGUAUAGGUUUCUGAAACCAAAAACCCAAUUAAAAGCUUUCGGAGAAGAGACCUUCAAAGCUCUUCAGACAUCAAGGUUUCUCGUCCCGCAUUCCCACAGGAGAAAUGAAGCUGUGUACUCAAAGAUGUGUGCUCGUGUGUCCCACCCUACUCAGACAGCACCAACAGUUUGAAUUGCUGGAUAACAAUAAGCAGAUUAACAAAGCCCUCUGUGUCCCCCUGGAGCAGGACGUGACGCGGUCUGGGGACACUGACUCACAGCUGACUCAGCGCCCGGCGCGCAGCCAGGGGGCGCCUGGCAGAGCCCGCUUCGCCUGCUGCUAGGAGGGGCCUAGCAGCACACUAGGCACGGAAGGUUGUGGCCCAUGAAGGGGAGCUCAGAUCGCACCUGGGACGGAAGCACAGCCUAAGAACACUGCAGAGGGACCAGUCUCUAGCCAUUGAAGGCUAAAGCGCCCAUUCCUCUCUCCUCCACUAGCCUGAUCCCUAGAGAGCAGCCACGCCCACCACUCAGGCUAUGUUACAGACUGUGUAACAGAGGAAACAGAGGAGAUUGCAAGCUGAUCAUAAACUGUCCCUUGUUCAUUCAUCUCUCAUUGCUCUUAACGCUG